GAAGCACCUCCUAGUACAAAUAAAUGCGUGUCCCGUCUUCGACGCGCUGCGCCGACCGUCCUCCUGUGCCUCUUCCUCUGGCUUCGACGCCCAGCCUGGCACCUCGGUGACUGCAUUGCAGUCCGAAUCCGACAAUUUACAACCUGCUAGCCAGGCUCCGCGAUGUGCUCAGCGUACUCCGUUCACCGUAGCGGCAAUGGGGAAGAUGUCGGUGCCACAGACGGAAGAGUGCCACAGAAAGGUCACUGCACACAUAGUCAAAAGACUGCAUCCCUUUUCAGAGGUGGAAUCUCCAACAUUUAGGGAUAUGGUGAAAACUCUCAACCCAAAAUACAUACCACCUUCCAGGGACUACCUGUCAAACACAUUGAUCCCGGCAUGGUACAAGAAGAAUCGGAAUCGAGAAUCGUCAGGAAUCGGAAUCGGAAUCGGAA